AGAGAGUUGGCUGAAUUGGUUAAAGCACCAGUCUUGAAAACUGGCGUCCGUAAAAGGACUUACGGUUCGAAUCCGUAACUCUCUGCCA
rnacentral:tRNA from 1 species